AUGAAAAGGCGGAGACACAAAACGCCACGUUUGGCUCUCCAAGCAGCGAUAAUUUCUCCUUUGACAAAACCAGGAAAUUCCACCACCGUCUAUCGUUUUAAUCGAUUGUCUCCACCGUCAUCAAAGGAUUCACCUCCACUUUUUGCUUUGAGCCUCACUAACACAACUCCACUGAUCUCGUCCUAA